CGCCUUCAGAAUGACCAUUGAAGGUCCAGCCUGCCCAGUGAAGUUUUAAACGGCCGCGGUAUCCUAACCGUGCUAAGGUAGCGCAAUCACUUGUCCCCUAAAUCAGGACUAGUAUGAACGGCAUCACGAGGGUUGCACUGUCUCCCCCUUUUAAUCAGUGAAACUGACCCCCCCGUGAAGAGGCGGGGAUUCAGAUAUAAGACGAGAAGACCCCAUGGAGCUUCAAAUACAUGCCACUUGCCUCCCCAUACCACUGCAACAAGGCAAAUCUGACCACUGUUUUAGGUUGGGGCGACCACGGAGUAAAACACAACCUCCGCGACGAACUUUCAAUUUAAGAACGACAACUCAAGAAAUCAGAAUUGACGUAAUUGACCCAAAUAUCCUAUUUGAUCAACGAACCAAGUUACCCUGGGGAUAACAGCGCUAUCCAUUUCAAGAGCCCCUAUCAACAAAUGGGUUUACGACCUCGAUGUUGGAUCAGGAUAUCCCAGUGGUGCAACCGCUACUAACGGUUCGUUUGUUCAACGAUUAAAAUCCU
rnacentral:rRNA from 1 species